ensembl:snoRNA SNORD115 Small nucleolar RNA SNORD115
GAGUUGAUGAUGAGAACCCCAUGUUAUCUUGAAGAGAGAUGAUAACUUAAAAAUCAUGCUCAAUAGGCUUACACUGAGGCCC